AGUCCCGCAACGAGCGCAACCCUUGUCCUAUGUUGCCAGCGCGUAAUGGCGGGGACUCGUGGGAGACUGCCGGCGACAAGUCGGAGGAAGGUGGGGACGACGUCAAGUCAUCAUGCCCCUUAUGCCCAGGGCUGCAAACAUGCUACAAUGGCCGGUACAAAGGGCUGCGAAACCGUGAGGUCAAGCGAAUCCCAUAAAGCCGGUCUCAGUUCGGAUUGGAGUCUGCAACUCGACUCCAUGAGGCCGGAGUCGCUAGUAAUCCCGGAUCAGCAACGCCGGGGUAAAUA
rnacentral:rRNA from 1 species